GCCGUGGUGGAGCAGUGGUAGCUCGCCCGAUCCUUGUAAACUACACUCGUUUACACGUCGCUCGCUUCAUCCUUCACUCGCUAUCGCAAGGAUCGGGAGGUCGUGGGUUCGAAUCCUGCUCACGGUG
rnacentral:tRNA from 1 species